rnacentral:ncRNA from 2 species
AAACAAGGUUGGGGGUGCUGGCAAAACUGGCUGAGAACAUACCCCAUAUUACCUGAUCCGGAUAAUGCCGGCGAAGGGAAACCGGUACAGACCCGU